rnacentral:rRNA from 1 species
UACGAAGGGGGCUAGCGUUGUUCGGAAUUACUGGGCGUAAAGCGCACGUAGGCGGAUAUUUAAGUCAGGGGUGAAAUCCCAGAGCUCAACUCUGGAACUGCCUUUGAUACUGGGUAUCUUGAGUAUGGAAGAGGUAAGUGGAAUUCCGAGUGUAGAGGUGAAAUUCGUAGAUAUUAGCAGGAACACCGGUGGCGAAGGCGGCUAUCUGGACGACAACUGACGCUGAGGCGCGAAAGCGUGGGGAUCAAACAGG